rnacentral:rRNA from 1 species
GACGAACGCUGGCGGCGUGCUUAACACAUGCAAGUCGAACGGAAAGGCCCUGCUUUUGUGGGGUGCUCGAGUGGCGAACGGGUGAGUAACACGUGAGUAACCUGCCCUUGACUUUGGGAUAACUUCAGGAAACUGGGGCUAAUACCGGAUAGGAGCUCCUGCUGCAUGGUGGGGGUUGGAAAGUUUCGGCGGUUGGGGAUGGACUCGCGGCUUAUCAGCUUGUUGGUGGGGUAGUGGCUUACCAAGGCUUUGACGGGUAGCCGGCCUGAGAGGGUGACCGGCAACAUUGGGACUGAGAUGAGGCCCAGACUCCUACGGGAGGCAGCAGUGGGGAAUAUUGCACAAUGGGCGGAAGCCUGAUGCAGCAACGCCGCGUGCGGGAUGACGGCCUUCGGGUUGUAAACCGCUUUCGCCUGUGACGAAGCGUGAGUGACGGUAAUGGGUAAAGAAGCACCGGCUAACUACGUG